AACAAACCGAUUUAGAUACCCAGCCAUGUCUUCUUACGCCGAUUCUUUACUCCCUAUUUUCAUGCACAUACACAUCAGUUUGUUCCCAUAAUGAUUCUUUAUUCUCUUUCCAUAUCCUUCCAAACUCUUUCAUCUCUCUUUUUUACACUAUUUCUCUCUACCGUCUGUGCCGAAUUUCUCUAUACUCCACCCUCUCUACCUUCUUUUUCCGGUUCUUUUUCCCUCAAAGGUUAAAUUUCGUUCACUCCCUGCUAAUCUCUAUAUUCUUUCUUCCCCCAAAUGCUUACUUUGACGCCAACGAACUCUUCAAAAAAUAUUGUUGUUCACUCCACAAAUUCUCGUUUGUAAUCCUUUCAGAAUACUUUGCCCAUUUAUGCCUUAUUCAAAUAUAUUUGCAGCAAUAUUUAACUUAAAUCCUAACCUAAUUUAAUUGUAUAUGUCAUUGAGCCCCUAGACAAACAAGGAUUACGAGGCUAAAACAUGGUAAAAUAGUUGAGAUCAAUACUGUAAAUUAGGAAAUCUAUUAUCUACAUGCUCCCAGUCCUUGAGGUAAAUAUCCUCUUUCUUAGUUUAAACUUUUGUCAUUUUCUUUCAUGUUUGGUUAGUGUAUGAUGUAUCUUUGCAUUCAAAAUUUUAAACAAUAGAAAAAAUAACUUGCAUGAUGACUUAUUGUUCUGUUGCAAUUUUUGUUUGCUGGAUUAUCAUGUGUUUAUGCCUUUUUGGGUAUUUGACAUUUUAAUAUUUGAUGAUCGAUUCUUAUAAAGUUCAAGUUAAAUUUAAACUAUUUGUGUUAAUGUCUAUUGUUCUUUAUUAUCUUUAAUAUGUUUUUAUGCAGUACAUAUUGAGUUGAGGCAAAUAUUGAGCUAUGUUUUUUGUUGGAGGCUUGGGACAGUGGGACAAACAAGUAAUUUUAAGGAAUCUAAUAGGACGCUUGUGUAUUGAUGUUUUCUCCUCCUUGAGAUAGAUUUAACCACAGAGAUUUAAGUGGAUGGGUUUUAAAUUUUAAAAUAAAACAUUGCUUUCAAGGGAAAUUGAACUUCCAUCUUUUCCAGCGAACCCACAACCCUUACCGUCGAACCAAGACCCCUUUUGUUACUGGGUUCGGCAGUAUAUAUUUAUAUAGAUUUAGUAAAUAUUUCAAUACAAAUACAGGAUUCCGAAAAAAGUUAUUGGGUUUAUCCGAACCCACACUCACUACUGCAGCUCUGCCCCUGAUUACAAGACUAAUUGGAGUUUAAAGUUAAAGCACAUGGCUCGCUAUUUUACUUUUGAAAACUUCCAAGGAAGUUUACAAGGUUAAAAGUAGUUUCAUAUGAUGAUGUCUUUGUAUAAAUAUAUCAUAAUUCAUUUACUCCUUUUGUUUUUUUCUAGCUUAAUUGUUCAUAGCAGCAAAACUGUACACAGGAGAGUAGUCCUCUCUUCACUAAUCAUGUAUUUGCAUCUUUGUAUAAAAAGAAAAGACAGAAGAUGGGGAUCAUGUCCUAGCCCCACGCACAUGUGACUUUUCUAAUAAUAAAGAAAAAACUUUACUAAUAGAGUUUGAAUAAGUAAAUUCCUUUGAGGUUACUUCAAAUUUGCUAAUGAUGAUUGCAAUUUGACACAGGUUAUUGAUGGAUCCAAUAUACUAUGUGUAUCAAGUUAACUUUCUCACAAAAGAGCUACACAAAGAGGAUAUAUGCGAACAUUAGAUUGCAUAUUACAACACUUUCAUGUUGUAGUUAUAUCACCCAAUAUUUAAUCCAUGUAUUCACUAUAGGUUCUUGUAAGUUAGUCACUUAGUAGGAAUGAUUAGAUUUGAGAGAUAAAAAAUUUGUAGAUUGUGGAACUCUAUUACUCUGAAGGAAAGUUGAGACGUGUUUAUUUAUGUAUGAGAGUUAUGUCAAGAUAAAUCUACAAAAAAAAACAUGCGAUACUUUUGAUUUGAUC